GUUUUUAUAGUUUAAAAAAAACUUUGGUCUUGUAAGUCAAAAAUAUGAUUAUUCAUUGAAAACU
rnacentral:tRNA from 1 species